AGAAAAUGAAAAAAGGGGGUUUGAAUAAAAUAGGCCACAAGUGAGGGUGACCAAAAAGCAUAUGACUGGGCUGAUACGUAUGUGUGUGGGUUUUUUUUUCUUGCUUUUUUUCUUUAAAAGCUUUUUC
rnacentral:ribozyme from 1 species